rnacentral:rRNA from 1 species
GACGAACGCUGGCGGCGUGCUUAACACAUGCAAGUCGAACGGAAAGGCCCUUCGGGGUACUCGAGUGGCGAACGGGUGAGUAACACGUGGGUGAUCUGCCCUGCACUUUGGGAUAAGCCUGGGAAACUGGGUCUAAUACCGAAUAGGACCACGCGCUUCAUGGUGUGUGGUGGAAAGCUUUUGCGGUGUGGGAUGGGCCCGCGGCCUAUCAGCUUGUUGGUGGGUAAUGGCCUACCAAGGCGACGACGGGUAGCCGGCCUGAGAGGGUGACCGGCCACACUGGGACUGAGAUACGGCCCAGACUCCUACGGGAGGCAGCAGUGGGGAAUAUUGCACAAUGGGCGCAAGCCUGAUGCAGCGACGCCGCGUGAGGGAUGACGGCCUUCGGGUUGUAAACCUCUUUCAAUAGGGACGAAGCGCAAGUGACGGUACCUAUAGAAGAAGCACCGGCCAACUACGUG